GGCGAACGCUGGCGGCAGGCUUAACACAUGCAAGUCGAACGCCCCGCAAGGGGAGUGGCAGACGGGUGAGUAACACGUGGGAACGUACCCUUUGGUUAGGAAUAACUUGGGGAAACUCAAGCUAAUACCGGAUAAGCCCUUAUGGGGAAAGGUUUACUGCCGAAGGAUCGGCCCGCGUCUGAUUAGCUAGUUGGUGAGGUAAUGGCUCACCAAGGCGACGAUCAGUAGCUGGUCUGAGAGGAUGAUCAGCCACACUGGGACUGAGACACGGCCCAGACUCCUACGGGAGGCAGCAGUGGGGAAUAUUGGACAAUGGGGGCAACCCUGAUCCAGCCAUGCCGCGUGAGUGAUGAAGGCCUUAGGGUUGUAAAGCUCUUUUACCCGGGACGAUAAUGACUGUACCGGGAGAAUAAGCCCCGGCUAACUUCGUGCCAGCCGCCGCUGUAA
rnacentral:rRNA from 1 species